rnacentral:rRNA from 1 species
AACGAACGCUGGCGGCAUGCCUAACACAUGCAAGUCGAACGAGACCUUCGGGUCUAGUGGCGCACGGGUGCGUAACGCGUGGGAACCUGCCCUUAGGUUCGGAAUAACUCCCCGAAAGGGGUGCUAAUACCGGAUAAUGUCUUCGGACCAAAGAUUUAUCGCCUUUGGAUGGGCCCGCGUUGGAUUAGCUAGUUGGUAGGGUAAAAGCCUACCAAGGCGACGAUCCAUAGCUGGUCUGAGAGGAUGAUCAGCCACACUGGGACUGAGACACGGCCCAGACCCCUACGGGGGGCAGCAGGGGGGAAUUUUGGACAAGGGGCGAAAGCCUGAUCCAGCAAGGCCGCGGGAGGGAUGAAGGCCUUAGGUUUGUAAAGCUCUUUUACCCGGGAUGAUAAUGACAGUACCGGGAGAAUAAGCCCCGGCUAACUCCGU